UCAGUCAUUUAAUAAGCACUUAUUAACUACCUUCUCUAUGCUAGAUCUUUGAGAUGUAAAGAUAGCUCACUAAUUCCAUAUUUGAUGAAGGGAAUAAAGAAAGGAAGAGGGAAAGGAUUAGAAGGAAGGCUGAGAUUCAUCUGGAAAAAUAUUGACUAGAUUAUUCCCCAAAUGGACAAUUUCAUGGAUGAAAAUGCAUCAAUAGUAAAGGGAAUAGCAUAUAAAAGAAAGCAGUCUAAGAAGAGACCAGUGGAGAACAGAAAAAGUAAACUGAGACUCAAAAAAGGAAUUUGACCCAUCUCACACAACUAGCAAUCAUCUCAGAGGAAGAUACACAGCCUGUGGCUAGAUGAAGAGGAAGCCUUGUUAUGGAGUCCCACUACAAGAUAUAUUCACUGAGAAGUCUUGGAAAAUCAAAUUGGUAAUUUAUUCCUAGUAGAAUUUAGUGUUUAUACUGCUUAAUAGAUAAUAUGAACUGAUUUCACAUA
rnacentral:lncRNA from 1 species